AACGAACGCUGGCGGCAUGCCUAACGCAUGCAAGUCGAACGAGACCUUCGGGUCUAGUGGCGCACGGGUGCGUAACGCGUGGGAACCUGCCCUUAGGUUCGGGAUAACUCCCCGAAAGGGGUGCUAAUACCGGAUAAUGUCUUCGGACCAAAGAUUUAUCGCCUUUGGAUGGGCCCGCGUUGGAUUAGCUAGUUGGUAGGGUAAAAGCCUACCAAGGCGACGAUCCAUAGCUGGUCUGAGAGGAUGAUCAGCCACACUGGGACUGAGACACGGCCCAGACUCCUACGGGAGGCAGCAGUGGGGAAUAUUGGACAAUGGGCGAAAGCCUGAUCCAGCAAUGCCGCGUGAGUGAUGAAGGCCUUAGGGUUGUAAAGCUCUUUUACCCGGGAUGAUAAUGACAGUACCGGGAGAAUAAGCUCCGGCUAACUCCGUG
rnacentral:rRNA from 1 species